rnacentral:rRNA from 2 species
ACGUGGCGGCGUGCUAAUACAUGCAAGUCGAACGAAACUUUCUUACACCGAAUGCUUGCAUUCACCGUAAGAAGUUGAGUGGCGGACGGGUGAGUAACACGUGGGUAACCUGCCUAAAAGAAGGGGAUAACACUUGGAAACAGGUGCUAAUACCGUAUAUCUCUAAGGAUCGCAUGAUCCUUAGAUGAAAGAUGGUUCUGCUAUCGCUUUUAGAUGGACCCGCGGCGUAUUAACUAGUUGGUGGGGUAACGGCCUACCAAGGUGAUGAUACGUAGCCGAACUGAGAGGUUGAUCGGCCACAUUGGGACUGAGACACGGCCCAAACUCCUACGGGAGGCAGCAGUAGGGAAUCUUCCACAAUGGACGCAAGUCUGAUGGAGCAACGCCGCGUGAGUGAAGAAGGUCUUCGGAUCGUAAAACUCUGUUGUUAGAGAAGAACACGAGUGAGAGUAACUGUUCAUUCGAUGACGGUAUCUAACCAGCAAGUCACGGCUAACUACGUGCCAGCAGCCGCGGUAAUACGUAGGUGGCAAGCGUUGUCCGGAUUUAUUGGGCGUAAAGGGAACGCAGGCGGUCUUUUAAGUCUGAUGUGAAAGCCUUCGGCUUAACCGGAGUAGUGCAUUGGAAACUGGAAGACUUGAGUGCAGAAGAGGAGAGUGGAACUCCAUGUGUAGCGGUGAAAUGCGUAGAUAUAUGGAAGAACACCAGUGGCGAAAGCGGCUCUCUGGUCUGUAACUGACGCUGAGGUUCGAAAGCGUGGGUAGCAACAGGAUA